GAAGGUAUAGCUCAGUGGUAGAGUGCGUGCUUAGCAUGCACAAGGUCCUAGGUUCUAGCCCCAGUACCUCCA
rnacentral:tRNA from 1 species